rnacentral:rRNA from 1 species
GAUGAACGCUGGCGGCGUGCCUAAUACAUGCAAGUCGAGCGGACGGACGAGAAGCUUGCUUCUCUGAUGUUAGCGGCGGACGGGUGAGUAACACGUGGAUAACCUACCUAUAAGACUGGGAUAACUUCGGGAAACCGGAGCUAAUACCGGAUGAUAUUUUGAACCGCAUGGUUCAAAAGUGAAAGACGGUCUUGCUGUCACUUAUAGAUGGAUCCGCGCUGCAUUAGCUAGUUGGUAAGGUAACGGCUUACCAAGGCAACGAUGCAUAGCCGACCUGAGAGGGUGAUCGGCCGCACUGGAACUGAGACACGGUCCAGACUCCUACGGGAGGCAGCAGUAGGGAAUCUUCCGCAAUGGGCGAAAGCCUGACGGAGCAACGCCGCGUGAGUGAUGAAGGUCUUCGGAUCGUAAAACUCUGUUAUUAGGGAAGAACAUAUGUGUAAGUAACUGUGCACAUCUUGACGGUACCUAAUCAGAAAGCCACGGCUAACUACGUG